CUACCGACAUCGAGAGGUGUCGGGAUGCGCAUGCAGAAGUCAGCAGAGGGCAUAGUAGGUCAAGGGCGAAACGGCACAACCGAGAAGACCACUGACUGAAGGCC
rfam:Betaproteobacteria bacterium RIFCSPLOWO2_02_64_14 rifcsplowo2_02_sub10_scaffold_13012, whole genome shotgun sequence.